CUCGGUAGGAAGGGGUAAAAUCCUUUGAUCUAUCGAUGACCACCUGUGGCGAAGGCGGUCUACCAGAACACGUUCGACGGUGAGGGAUGAAAGCUGGGGGAGCAAACCGGAUUAGAUACCCGGGUAGUCCCAGCUGUAAACGAUGCAGACUCGAUGAUGCAAUGGCAUAGAGCUAUUGCAGUAUCGCAGGGAAGCCGUUAAGUCUGCCGCCUGGGAAGUACGUACGCAAGUAUGAAACUUAAAGGAAUUGGCGGGGGAGCACCACAAGGGGUGAAGCCUGCGGUUCAAUUGGAGUCAACGCCAGAAAUCUUACCCGGAGAGACAGCAGAAUGAAGGUCAGGCUGAAGACCUUACCAGACAAGCUGAGAGGUGGUGCAUGGCCGUCGUCAGCUCGUGCCGUGAGAUGUCCUGUUAAGUCAGGUAACGAGCGAGAUCCCUGCCACUAGUUGCUAUUAUUACUCUCAGGAGUAGUGGGGCGAAUUAGUGGGACCGCCACAGUUAAUGUGGAGGAAGGAAGGGGCCACGGCAGGUCAGUAUGCCCCGAAACUCUGGGGCCACACGCGGGCUGCAAUGGUAGUGACAAUGGGCUCCUAACUCGAAAGAGAGAGGCAAUCCAAAAACACUACCACAGUUAUGACUGAGGGCUGUAACUCGCCCUCACGAAUAUGGAAUCCCUAGUAACUGCGUGUCAUUACCGCGCGGUG
rnacentral:rRNA from 1 species